UACGUAGGGUGCGAGCGUUAAUCGGAAUUACUGGGCGUAAAGGGUGCGCAGGCGGCUCCGCAUGUCGGGCGUGAAAGCCCCGGGCUUAACCCGGGAAUGGCGUCCGAAACUAUGGUGCUGGAGUGUGGCAGAGGAAGGUGGAAUUCCACGUGUAGCGGUGAAAUGCGUAGAGAUGUGGAGGAACACCGAUGGCGAAGGCGGCUCUCUGGGCCUGUCCUGACGCUCAGGCGCGAAAGCUAGGGGAGCAAACAGG
rnacentral:rRNA from 1 species